rnacentral:rRNA from 1 species
AUUGAACGCUGGCGGCAUGCCUUACACAUGCAAGUCGAGCGCGAAAGGGGGCAACCCCGACGUAGAGCGGCGGACGGGUGAGUAACACAUCGGAACGUGCCCAGUAGUGGGGGACAACCUCGAGAAAUCGAGGCUAAUACCGCAUACGACCCACGGGUGAAAGCGGGGGACCGCAAGGCCUCGCGCUAUUGGAGCGGCCGAUGUCCGAUUAGCUAGUUGGCGGGGUAAGAGCCCACCAAGGCGACGAUCGGUAGCUGGUCUGAGAGGACGACCAGCCACACUGGGACUGAGACACGGCCCAGACUCCUACGGGAGGCAGCAGUGGGGAAUUUUGGUACAAUGGGGGCAACCCUGAUCCAGCCAUGCCGCGUGCGGGAAGAAGGCCUUCGGUUGUAACCGU